AACUGCCCUAAAAAAGAUCUGAGCAACACUUAAAUGAAAAAAAAAUCUCUUUUUUCAUUUAAUUUCACUUUGUUGGUAUUGCCUGAAAUAUAUUAAAGUGUUCAAUGUCGGACAGGAGUCCGAAGUAUUUUAUUUUUUUUAGAAAAGGUCGUGCAGUAUGUCUACAGGAAUCGUAAAGUGGUUCAAUGAGAGCAAGGGAUUCGGUUUCAUCUCACCAGAUGACGGAUCAAAAGAUGUUUUUGUCCAUUUCUCAGCUAUUCAGUCCAGUGGAUUCAAAAAACUGGAAGAAGGACAAAACGUAGAAUUCGAAAUAGUUACCGGUGACAAAGGGCCAAGCGCUCAGAAUGUGACUGCUUUAUAAUAGCACUUUCAGUUUUGUCGAAGUUAGCCUGAAGAGUUUUUCUUCAGGCUUUUU
rnacentral:sRNA from 1 species